CCUACGGGAGGCAGCAGUGAGGAAUAUUGGUCAAUGGGCGCGAGCCUGAACCAGCCAAGUAGCGUGAAGGAUGACUGCCCUACGGGUUGAAAGCUUCUUUGAUAAAGGAAUAAAGAGAGGCACGUGUGCAUUUUUGUAUGGACUUUAUGAAUAAGGAACGGCUAACUCCGUGCCAGCAGCGGCGGUAAGACGGAGGAUCGGAGGGUUAUACGGAUGGAUUGGGUUUAAAGGGAGCGUAGAGGGGUUGUUAAGUCAGUUGUGAAAGUUUGGGGCUCAACCGUUAAAUUGCUAUUGAUACUGGCAGUCUUGAGUACAGUUGAGGUAGGCGGGAUUUGUGGUGUAGCGGUGAAAUGCUUAGAUAUCACGAAGAACUCCGAUUGCGAAGGCAGCUUACUAAACUGCCACUGACAUUGAUGCUCGAAAGUCUGGGUAUCAAACAGGAUUAGAUACCCCAGUAGUC
rnacentral:rRNA from 1 species